GUUGGGUAACACUAACUGGAGGACCGAACCGACUAAUGUUGAAAAAUUAGCGGAUGACCUGUGGCUGGGGGUGAAAGGCCAAUCAAACCGGGAGAUAGCUGGUUCUCCCCGAAAGCUAUUUAGGUAGCGCCUCGUGAAUUCAUCUCCGGGGGUAGAGCACUGUUUCGGCUAGGGGGCCAUCCCGGCUUACCAACCCGAUGCAAACUGCGAAUACCGGAGAAUGUUAUCACGGGAGACACACGGCGGGUGCUAACGUCCGUCGUGAAGAGGGAAACAACCCAGACCGCCAGCUAAGGUCCCAAAGUCAUGGUUAAGUGGGAAACGAUGUGGGAAGGCCCAGACAGCCAGGAUGUUGGCUUAGAAGCAGCCAUCAUUUAAAGAAAGCGUAAUAGCUCACUGGUCGAGUCGGCCUGCGCGGAAGAUGUAACGGGGCUAAACCAUGCACCGAAGCUGCGGCAGCGACACUGUGUGUUGUUGGGUA
rnacentral:rRNA from 2 species